AUGAAGCCGGAAUCGCUAGUAAUCGCAGAUCAGAAUGCUGCGGUGAAUACGUUCCCGGGUCUUGUACACACCGCCCGUCACACCAUGGGAGUCGAUAACGCCCGAAGUCAGUGACCCAACCGAGAGGAGGGAGCUGCCGAAGGCGGGAUGGAUAACUGGGGUGAAGUCGUAACAAGGUAAC
rnacentral:rRNA from 1 species